rnacentral:rRNA from 1 species
AUUGAACGCUGGCGGCAUGCUUUACACAUGCAAGUCGAACGGUAACAGGUUAAGCUGACGAGUGGCGAACGGGUGAGUAAUGCAUCGGAACGUGCCCGGUCGUGGGGGAUAACGCAGCGAGAGCUGCGCUAAUACCGCAUACGAUCUAAGGAUGAAAGCGGGGGACCGUAAGGCCUCGCGCGAUCGGAGCGGCCGAUGUCAGAUUAGGUAGUUGGUGGGGUAAAGGCUCACCAAGCCAACGAUCUGUAGCUGGUCUGAGAGGACGACCAGCCACACUGGGACUGAGACACGGCCCAGACUCCUACGGGAGGCAGCAGUGGGGAAUUUUGGACAAUGGGCGAAAGCCUGAUCCAGCAAUGCCGCGUGCAGGAAGAAGGCCUUCGGGUUGUAAACUGCUUUUGUACGGGGCGAAAAGGUCUCCUCUAAUACAGGGGGCUCAUGACGGUACCGUAAGAAUAAGCACCGGCUAACUACGUGCCAGCCGCCGCGGUAA